rnacentral:rRNA from 1 species
AUUGAACGCUGGCGGCAGGCCUAACACAUGCAAGUCGAGCGGAUGAAGGGAGCUUGCUCCUGGAUUCAGCGGCGGACGGGUGAGUAAUGCCUAGGAAUCUGCCUGGUAGUGGGGGAUAACGUCCGGAAACGGGCGCUAAUACCGCAUACGUCCAGAGGGAGAAAGUGGGGGAUCUUCGGACCUCACGCUCUCAGAUGAGCCUAGGUCGGAUUAGCUAGUUGGUGGGGUAAAGGCCUACCAAGGCGACGAUCCGUAACUGGUCUGAGUGGAUGAUCAGUCACACGGGAACUGAGACACGGUCCAGACUCCUACGGGAGGCAGCAGGGGGGAAUAUUGGAAAAUGGGCGAAAGCCUGAUCCAGCCAUGCCGCGUGUGUGAAGAAGGUCUUCGGAUGGUAAAGCACUUUAAGUUGGGAGAAAGGGCAGUAAGUUAAUACCUUGCUGUUUUGACGUUACCAACAGAAUAAGCACCGGCUAACUUCGU